AUUGAACGCUGGCGGCAUGCCUUACACAUGCAAGUCGAACGGCAGCACGGGAGCAAUCCUGGUGGCGAGUGGCGAACGGGUGAGUAAAGUAUCGGAACGUGCCCAGUCGUGGGGGAUAACGUAGCGAAAGUUACGCUAAUACCGCAUACGAUCUAUGGAUGAAAGCGGGGGAUCGCAAGACCUAGCGCGAUUGGAGCGGCCGAUAUCAGAUUAGGUAGUUGGUGGGGUAAAGGCUCACCAAGCCGACGAUCUGUAGCUGGUCUGAGAGGACGACCAGCCACACUGGGACUGAGACACGGCCCAGACUCCUACGGGAGGCAGCAGUGGGGAAUUUUGGACAAUGGGCGAAAGCCUGAUCCAGCCAUGCCGCGUGCAGGAUGAAGGCCUUCGGGUUGUAAACUGCUUUUGUACGGAACGAAAAGGUUUGGCCUAAUAAGCUGAGCUCAUGAUGGUACCGUAAGAAUAAGCACCGGCUAACUACGUGCCAGCCGCCGCAGUAA
rnacentral:rRNA from 1 species